rnacentral:rRNA from 1 species
UACGGAGGGUGCAAGCGUUAUCCGGAUUCACUGGGUUUAAAGGGAGCGUAGGUGGGCAGGUAAGUCAGUGGUGAAAUCUCCGGGCUCAACCCGGAAACUGCCAUUGAUACUAUUUGUCUUGAAUUAUCUGGAGGUAAGCGGAAUAUGUCAUGUAGCGGUGAAAUGCUUAGAUAUGACAUAGAACACCCAUUGCGAAGGCAGCUUACUACGGAUAUAUUGACACUGAGGCUCGAAAGCGUGGGGAUCAAACAGG